GACGAAGGAUCCAAGCGUUAUCCGGAUUUAUUGGGUUUAAAGGGUGUGUAGGCGGGCUUUUAAGUCAGUGGUGAAAUCUCCGGGCUCAACCCGGAAACUGCCAUUGAUACUAUUAGUCUUGAAUUUUGUUGAGGUAGGCGGAAUAAGUCAUGUAGCGGUGAAAUGCAUAGAUAUGACUUAGAACACCAAUUGCGAAGGCAGCUUGCUAAACAAAUAUUGACGCUG
rnacentral:rRNA from 1 species